AACUGUUAUAUGUAGAGGGGGCUAGAGGAAGUAACAGAACUGUUAUAUGUAGAGGAUAAUAGAGGAAGUAACAGAACAGUUAUAUGUAGAGGAUAAUAGAGGAAGUAACAGAACAGUUAUAUGUAGAGGGUGCUAGAGGAAGUAACAGAACAGUUAUAUGUAGAGGGUGCCAGAGGAAGUUACAGAACAGUUAUAUGUAGAGGAUAAUAGAGGAAGUAACAGAACUGUUAUAUGUAGAGGAUAAUAGAGGAAGUAACAGAACAGUUAUAUGUAGAGGAUGCUAGAGGAAGUAACAGAACAAUUAUAUGUAGAGG
rnacentral:lncRNA from 1 species